rnacentral:misc_RNA from 1 species
GAGUUAGCAGUUUAGAGUAGAAAAGGCAUUUUUCUUCACAACAUACUCAAAGGUCAGAUAUAACAUAAUUCUGAGGUUAGUUUUAACAAAUUCAAAAGGGACUCGUCCAUGAAGAUAACAAGUUCUCCAUCACUUUUUAUAGGUUGAAAGGGAAUUUGGCAUAUUGUUCGCAGUAACUGUUGGUUAUUUGCUUACCUGAAAAAAG